rnacentral:misc_RNA from 1 species
CAGAGCAGCAAAUAGCCAACUUGCUACUCCUACAGUUCCAUCUGCACCUUCAAGGAGCCCAAACAAUACUAAGCUCUCCUCUGUGGAACACAAGUCAGCGAACCUGAAUUUGAUUUCAGGGUUCAAUGUGGAAAAGAGACCUUUGUCUCAAACCCAGAGUCGAAAUGACUUUUUUAACCUCGUGAAAAAGAAAACCUCAACAAACACUUCUGCAGCUCUCCCAGAUUCAGCCUCUGCUGUUUCAUCUCCUGCAAGUGAGAAAUCUUGUGAUGCGAGUAAGGAAGUAGUCAGUGCUUCUACAAGUUCUCAGGCUAUUAAGAAUGGUGCUGAGUUGACUAGCA